CCUACGGGGUGCAGCAGUGGGGAAUAUUGGACAAUGGGCGAAAGCCUGAUCCAGCCAUGCCGCGUGUGUGAAGAAGGCCUUCGGGUUGUAAAGCACUUUCAGUGGGGAAGAAAGCCUUGGGGCUAAUACCCUCGAGGAAGGACAUCACCCACAGAAGAAGCACCGGCUAACUCCGUGCCAGCAGCCGCGGUAAUACGGAGGGUGCGAGCGUUAAUCGGAAUUACUGGGCGUAAAGCGCGCGUAGGCGGUCUGAUAAGCCGGUUGUGAAAGCCCCGGGCUCAACCUGGGAACGGCAUCCGGAACUGUCAGGCUAGAGUGCAGGAGAGGAAGGUAGAAUUCCCGGUGUAGCGGUGAAAUGCGUAGAGAUCGGGAGGAAUACCAGUGGCGAAGGCGGUCUUCUGGACUGACACUGACGCUGAGGUGCGAAAGCGUGGGUAGCAAACAGGAUUAGAUACCCUGGUAGUC
rnacentral:rRNA from 1 species